GAAAUGCGAUAAGUAAUGUGAAUUGGAGAAUUCAGUGAAUCAUCGAAUCUUUGAACGCACAUUGCGCCCGCCAGUAUUCUGGCGGGCAUGCCUGUUCGAGCGUCAUUACAACCCUCAGGCCCCCGGGCCUGGCGUUGGGGAUCGGCGGAAGCCCCCUGCGGGCACAACGCCGUCCCCCAAAUACAGUGGCGGUCCCGCCGCAGCUUCCAUUGCGUAGUAGCUAACACCUCGCAACUGGAGAGCGGCGCGGCCACGCCGUAAAACACCCAACUUCUGAAUGUUGACCUCGAAUCAGGUAGGAAUACCCGCUGAACUUAAGC
rnacentral:misc_RNA from 1 species